GAGUUUGAUCCUGGCUCAGAUUGAACGCUGGCGGCAGGCCUAACACAUGCAAGUCGAGCGGUAGAGAGAAGCUUGCUUCUCUUGAGAGCGGCGGACGGGUGAGUAAUGCCUAGGAAUCUGCCUGGUAGUGGGGGAUAACGCUCGGAAACGGACGCUAAUACCGCAUACGUCCUACGGGAGAAAGCAGGGGACCUUCGGGCCUUGCGCUAUCAGAUGAGCCUAGGUCGGAUUAGCUAGUUGGUGAGGUAAUGGCUCACCAAGGCGACGAUCCGUAACUGGUCUGAGAGGAUGAUCAGUCACACUGGAACUGAGACACGGUCCAGACUCCUACGGGAGGCAGCAGUGGGGAAUAUUGGAAUAAUGGGCGAAAGCCUGAUCCAGCCAUGCCGCGUGUGUGAAGAAGGUCUUCGGAUUGUAAAGCACUUUAAGUUGGGAGGAAGGGCAUUAACCUAAUACGUUAGUGUUUUGACGUUACCGACAGAAUAAGCACCGGCUAACUCUGUGCCAGCAGCCGCGGUAAUACAGAGGGUGCAAGCGUUAAUCGGAAUUACUGGGCGUAAAGCGCGCGUAGGUGGUUUGUUAAGUUGAAUGUGAAAUCCCCGGGCUCAACCUGGGAACUGCAUCCAAAACUGGCAAGCUAGAGUAUGGUAGAGGGUGGUGGAAUUUCCUGUGUAGCGGUGAAAUGCGUAGAUAUAGGAAGGAACACCAGUGGCGAAGGCGACCACCUGGACUGAUACUGACACUGAGGUGCGAAAGCGUGGGGAGCAAACAGGAUUAGAUACCCUGGUAGUCCACGCCGUAAACGAUGUCAACUAGCCGUUGGGGACCUUGAGUCCUUAGUGGCGCAGCUAACGCAUUAAGUUGACCGCCUGGGGAGUACGGCCGCAAGGUUAAAACUCAAAUGAAUUGACGGGGGCCCG
rnacentral:rRNA from 1 species